UUGCAUGCGGAGCUACCAUGCAAGUCGUACGAGAAGGUUCCUUCGGGAACUGGAGAGUGGCGCACGGGUGAGUAACGCGUGGGGACCUACCUCUUAGUGGGGGAUAACGGUUGGAAACGACCGCUAAUACCGCAUACGCCCUUCGGGGGAAAGAUUUAUCGCUAAGAGAUGGACCCGCGUUGGAUUAGAUAGUUGGUGAGGUAACGGCUCACCAAGUCAGCGAUCCAUAGCUGGUUUGAGAGGAUGAUCAGCCACACUGGGACUGAGACACGGCCCAGACUCCUACGGGAGGCAGCAGUGGGGAAUAUUGGACAAUGGGCGCAAGCCUGAUCCAGCCAUGCCGCGUGAGUGAAGAAGGCCUUCGGGUUGUAAAGCUCUUUCAGAUGCGAAGAUGAUGACGGUAACAUCAGAAGAAGCCCCGGCUAAUUUCGUGCCAGCAGCCGCGGUAAUACGAAAGGGGCAAGCGUUGUUCGGAUUUACUGGGCGUAAAGGGCACGCAGGCGGUCCUGCCAGUCAGGGG
rnacentral:rRNA from 1 species